rnacentral:lncRNA from 1 species
GAGAGAGAGAGAGUUCAUGUGUUACCCAAAAUGAUGCUUCUCACAAGGUAAACAAGUCAUGAGAUCGAUAGAAAAAGAGCAUGUACCAUGACUUUUCUUUGACUCAUUGUGGCACAGUCACCGAUAGCAUAUACACCAUCACAUUCACGGACUCUCAGCCAUUCAUCCGUAGCUAAUGCACGCCUAUUACCCUGCGGAUAGAAGGAAAAGAUUUUUCAAGACAGCAUGAAUUAGUACAUCCAAACAAAAAUUUAUAAGACAGUUAUGAUCUCAAGAUAGAAGAAAUUAACCUGACCAAUUUGUUUCAUGAAAUCCAAUAUGAUGGGACGGGCUCCAACACCAGCUGACCAAACAGCCAUUCCGUAUGAUACAGAAGUCUCAACAUGCAAUUUGUCCUCCAUAGUUAUUAUAUUAUCAGAUACCUUCACAACCCUAUAUCCCGUUCUCAGUUCAAUACCAUCCCUUCGAAACUUCUCUUCUGCAAAUUUGCCGAUCCUUUUAUCAAACCUGUGGAUGAUGUCACAAUGCAACUCAUGUCACAGUAGCAGACAAGUAUAAAAUGCAAAAAAAGUGAUUUGUGAAGUUGGAUCAACUUAGCACAAUUAGAGCUACACUUGUUAAAAGACCUGUGAGAUGUUCUACAUCAGAUGUGCCUAGUUGCUAAAAUUUGACAGCGGCAACGAAGUUUCAUUUAGCAAACAGAUGUGAGCUGAAGGUUCUACAAUUGUGCAGACUACUCAGUGCUUGUAAACUUAAAAAGUAACUAUAUGAUUAGAGAUAAUUCACACUAAGUUCUGUGUUACAUGGUCAAGAUGUGCCCUCCAUGUUCAAUAACUGAUAUCUUCACUAGGUUGCAAACAGUUGGGUACAACUUAGCCAAAUCUUCAGAGAUGAAGUCAUGCAGCUCUGCUGCGAAUUCAACACCAGUUGGACCACCACCAACAAUAACAAAAUGGAGAGUUCUCUUCCUCUCUUCUUCAUCAAGAUCUGGAAGAAUGGCUCUUUCAAAACUGUCUAUGACACUUUUGCGUAUCUUCUGAGCAUCCUCUACUUCCUGCAAAAAGGUAGUGCUCCUAAAAGUAAAUCAGAAACAAUGAACAAUUUAACUAUUGAAUGCACAAUCAUCUAACAAUCUGUAGUCUGUACCGGACAUUCAUCAAACGGAAGCCAGACUAUUUUUGCCAUGCAAGAGCUCUAAUCUUGUGUUCUAACAAACUAGCAUACCCAACAUCAUUGCACGUAGAAAUCAAUUGAUUAUGGAAAUUACCUUCAAGAAAUGACAAUGCUGAACCACACCAGAGGUGUUGAAGGUAUUUACCCUUGCUCCAACUGCUAUCACUAAGUAGUCAUAAUCAACAAGGAAUUCGCCGUUCCCCUCCAAAUUUGUUCCUAUAUUAGUCCGGCAGUGGACCUUUUUGUUGUCUGGAUCGAUCUUGAAGCACUCAGCUUCCCAGAACUUGAUUUCUCCACCUUUCUGAAAAAUCAAUCAUCAACAAGAGGCUGGUAUUCAAUAUGCUGGUGACAACAAUGAAGAUAACUUUGGAACAAAACAAAGGGAAAUCAUUAACCUAAAAAACAAUAUAUCACAUAUGAGAUGCUGAAAAUUUAAAAUAUAUCAAAAUAAUUCUCUAAAUUAGAAAAACAGUGACAUAUACCCAUCUGGGACAAAUCCAAACCUUUCAUGAAAAGUUUAAAUGAUUUAAACUAGUCCUUAUAUGCAAUACAUUAUUUUUAUUUUAACCCCAAAAAUAGUGUACCAUGUAUUGGAAAAUAUUUUUUUCAUAAAUUUUUACCUCUGUGUAUGGACAUAUUUAGAAGCUCAAAUAUUAAAAAACAUUGCAGCAAAAAUAAAAAAUAGAAAAUUAGGAAAUGACACAUUAUUUUGAUGUUGAAUAAUUCAGAAAAAAAAUCAAAAAAUGUCUAAAAUAGAAAUGACAUUAUCAAAGUCCAUCUUAGUGCCUUCUAAGUUUUACAAAAGAUUUCAUAUUAUUUUUUAUCAAUCCUCCUAUGUGUUAAAAACAUUGUUUUUUUCCUAUCAUAAUCCAUUCACGUCAUCAGUUUCCAGAAUAUUAUGAUGACAGGGCUUAUAUUGUACAUAAAUAUAGUCCUAUAAAAUCUGCCAUGGUUUUUGAUGGUAUGUGAGGUUUCUAUAUGGAUGAUACUCCCCUCCAAAUAGAGGGUUCUUCAAAUCAAGGAUUAUAGUUAUCAUCAAUUUUGGUACAGGUAUAUUGGGCGAUAUAAUGAUUAGAACUACUCAAUAUCAUCGAAGAAAGUGAUAACAUCAAGCUAUAUGCUUCGACAACAGUACUUGGUCGAACCAUAUCAGUCAAUACAUGUCGGUCCAAUUGGUAUUUAAAUCCUAGAUUCAAAUAAUUAGUGCCACAAAUACACCAUUUGGUACCUAAUAAAAGAAGUAAAUUUUUGACAUAAAGGCUAUCAGAACCAUCCAGAAUAGCAGGGUCACUCCAGCAUAAAAAUAAAGAAGACAAAGAAUUCAUCCCAACACAUCUUGUGCAUACCUUUCUUAUGAUCUUGCGUAUUGGUUCAACAAUGCUGCGUGGUUCGACCGUCCCACAUGUGACGCUCGGCAGCAAAGGGGUGAAUGCAAAAUAGUUCCGAGGCGAUAUCACUUGCACAUCAUACAAGGAGCUAUCGACAUUCCUCACGAAGGUUGUGCCAGCCCAACCAGUACCAAGCACAACCAUCUUCUUCUUGGGAGCUGUUUGAGAUGGUUCUGCAGCAGGAUCUGUUCUUGCAUCAGCAUAUGCCACAAGACCUCCACCGCUGCAAUUUACAGAGUUUUAGAGUACAAAGAGAUGGUCUAACAACUAAAACUUCCAAGCACAUCUCAGUUCGUACGAGAACGCAUAAGAUAAGCUGCAGUAGCUCCAUUUUCGAGUUCAUCAAGCGGAUAGAAUAGUGACUCAAACCGAAUCCUUGGCUUUCUAAUCGUACAAUUUAGGGAUUGAAGACGCAAUCGAGACUAGAACCACCUCGUCUUUCCCCCAAAACACUAGCAUUUCUUUAAGCAGAUUACACGAUUAUUUUCGCAUUAGACAGGAACAAGAUGCCAUCUUUCUUGGUCCUACGGAUCAAGAAAGAAGCAAAUCGAAAUCCAAGACCAGAAAGAUCCUGGCUUUUCGGAAGAGAUUGGCCGAGUUGGAUCAAGAAACAGUAGGAGAGCUUAAAACGGACUGGCGAAAGGAAGGGACCUGGCGGCGAAGAUGAGGACGAGCUUGGAGAAGGCGGGGCUGCGGCGGAAGGCGCCGUCGAGGAAGAAGGUGGCGGAGCGCAUCCUCCAACGCUGGAGCAAUCGAUCGAUCGAGAGAGACCGAGAGGAAGAUCCGAGAGAUGUGGAGAGUGCGAAGUGCUCCCCGUCGAAGAGCGCAGGUUUUAGCUCGUCAAUCUCCCUUCUUAUUUGGGAAAUAAAACACGUGGCUACUACUGUUACGUAUUAUAUGGUAAAUAAUAAUUAUUAUAUAUAUAUGUAAAUAUAUUCUGACAAUUUAAAUUGAUGGAAUGCAACAGUAAUCCACCGAGCUUUAAAAGGAGCACUAUCCAUGUGAUGAUAAAUGUGUAGGGUGUGCAUGUCGGGAGCCAUCUUCGUCUCCACGUAUGUCAUUCAUUUAUCUCUGGCAUAGACAUCAACUUAUAAUUCAAGCAAAACCGUGACGUGCAUACGGCAGUGCCGGAGAUCAAGCGUGCGGCGAAUGCAGGAUGAGGACCACAAGGGAGGAGAGCGGCUUGAUGUUCACGCUGGAGCUCGAGAGUGUGAGCUGGGUCAGAUUGGAACACUCGUAGGUGGAAUGGAAGAGAACGGAGGCGUUGGCAAAGCGCCAAUGUAACUCCGGAGGCGCCGGCCGCGGCUAACGAAGGUGGCCACGAGGGACCGAGCUCCUCGACGCCGCAGGAGGCGGCAUACCCGAGCCAGCACUUGAUGUCGGUGUCGUAGCAGCGGCUGCGGCCUCGUCGCUGAACUAUGUGAUGAGCGGGGAGAAGUCGAGAGCGGCGGGGUGGGGCCAGCGGUGGUGCCAGAAGCCGCGCCACCGGGAGGAGAGGCGCGGGCGGGUCGCCGGUGGCCGAGUCAGAUUGACUGAGUCACCGCUGGAACUUUACGGAUGACAUGGAUUUCUCACACACAUAAUAUUAGAUCUCCACCUUUUACAUUCCAUCAGUGCGAUCAAGUAGAAUCCAGUUAGUAACUCUAUUUUUCUUCGUAAAAAUGAGAGAUUUUAGAAUCUACAAGUAAGUUUUAUGAUCCAUAGAAGCCCUGACAAAAGCUAGUGAGACAAAUAUCAUCACCAUGAUUCGAUCUCGUGUAAUUAGUGAGCCAAUUAGUAACUCUAUUUUCUUCAUAAAAUAGAGAUAUACUUUAAUAUUCUAAACAUUGCUAUGGUGAGCCCAAAAAAACCUUUGUUUCUUCCACUCAAAUUAUAUAAUAGACAACUUCCUAAUCAUUAUGAUACCUCCUUAGGGACAAAAUUAUAAUAUUCACUUAGUAUAACGAAGAAGAUUUCUGCACAGGUAAAAGAGUAACAUGCUUCUUUAUACUGAAUAUGAAAUCGUGGGAAGAGUGAAAUAGCAUUACAUACAUCUCAUUUUUUCCAACACAUGAACCAUUUGCUUACAUUUAUUAUUCUUAUGUUCACAACUGUCUGUAGUGAGUACAACAUGCUAUGAAAUUGUUGUUCUAUACAAUGCUCUUGUGCACUGCAAAGCAGGAAACAAGAAAUACAAAGAGCCUUGUUAACUUGAAUUACAUAGAGCAUCAGUGUUUAUGACAUGGUAGAUGUCUUGAGUUAGCUUUCAGGCACUGGCAGCGUAUCGACUAGCUCUAGCGCACCACUAACAUCAUAUCAAAGUUCAAUUUCUCUUUUUUUUCUUGUACCACCAUCUUCUCCGCGAUUUCUCGCCUUCUGGUUUCCCAAGCUUCAGAAGUGAUGCCUUUGCAUCACGCAGACGGACCUUGUAUUCCUUCUUCCAAGCUUCAUAGCGGAUCGUCAAGUUCCGAAGCUCUUCGAUAGAUUUUGCAACGGAUCCCGACUGCCCAGAGUUCACCUCACUAAGGACACACGCUUCAUCCUCGAACACCUGUUUCUGCUGCUCAAACUCCUUUGUUAAGUGAUGAACAACAUUAUUUCUGCCAUCUAAGACUGUUGACUCAGCAACAUGAUGUUUAAUUGGUGUUUCUUCAGGCGUUUGCGCUUCAGCAGACAUAGCACCCUCAAAUUUUAGAGGUUGCUUAACUGUGUCACCAGCAGCAAUGCUGUUCUGUGCCGCAGCUAGAUUCACCUGCAUGUGCAACCGAUUAGAAAGAAGAAGAUUGUAUUUGAAUUGCAGCAGUAUGCUACAAAUUAUAUAAAUUCCAUAAUGUGCAUUCGGUGGAUGGAUAAGUUCCAACAGGGUAGUAAUACCUCAAGUUCAAUUUGUUUUCCAAAAAAAAUAUCCCUACUAUCAGUCCCUUUCAUUCAAAAGGUACAGAAUCAAGAGUAUAUUAUCAGAAAACACACGUGUCUAAUUUACCAAUUCAGAAGGAAAAUAGUACACCCUCAACAAUAACAACAGUUCCUUGACAUUCUAACUGAAAAUCACAAUACAAUGACAUAGUGAUUUUAACCUAGAUGAUGAUCUAGUGUCUGAUAACAUGUUGAUCUAAUUAGACGGUCGUAUAAUGCAUAACACUAAGCAUCACAUUUUAGCUGUCUGACAAACUACAAUGAAAAGACAAGCACUCAUUGUACUGCUGUGAGUAAUACUCAUUCACUCAUCACUUAACAACAUAAAAAUUUAGAAUCUUCGAGGACAUCACUAUAUUAAAAGCUAUUUCCUUUAUAAGUAACUAAGUAUACUCACCUUCAGAGUGUCUAUUUGUGUCUGAUACAUCUCCUCCAUGGACUUCAGUUUUACCUCAAACAGUGACCACUUUUUCUCACACUGUUGAACUUGCUUCAAUAAUGCAACAUUUUCCUCCUCUUUUUGUCGCAGUUCUGCCUUUGUCUUUAAAACCAGAUUCUCAAGGUCAUCCACCCUCGAAGGGUGCACCUUCUGGCCAUCUUCUUUUGAAGCCUGCCAUACAUGUUCACAAAAAUUUUUCAGAGCUCCCAUGGUGUUAUUGUUUGUAGGCAAAAAUGGCACAAGAAAUUUUGAUGAAAAUGAAAUAUCUAGAUCAACAUGCUAGCUAAACAAGAACUAAGUUGAAUGGACCCAUGCUUAAAAUGAGGCCAAGGUUUCAUGCCAUAGUAAGAUUGCACCUUUGCAAUGUACAUUGACCUUCCCUACCAGGUUGUCAGGAGUCUCAUGCGCUUGGCUACCAUUUAAACAUGCUCAAAAUAGAUGUAAGAAAAAUUGAACAUCUGUUAGUAUUUUUGUUCCUUUUGUACGUUUUGGAUCGUCAUGUUGUAAAAGUUAUUAUUUUCUUGAAUAACUAAACUUGACAUGUCAUGUUUUGCUAUAUACCAUCUGUUAAAUGCAUUGUAGCCAUGUCCACAUUGCAUGUAUUAGCUACCUUUUGUAAUGUGCCAUAUUGGUGCACGGUCAUCAUGUCGUGCCAGUUCUUGAUGCUAAUAUCCGAACUUCACACCAAUAUCCUCAUUAUGAUCACUUUAAACUAAUAAAACCAUGUGUAUGCUAAGUUCUCUUAUUAAUUGCGGAAGUUUACUUGAUCAGCACUUUGUCCCAUAUCUAAACAGUCUUUGAACAUAAAACUUCUAACUCUAAUUAUUUCUUAAACUCAACUAUUUUUCAAAAAACCUACAAUGAAAAAGCAAGAAACAACGUGCAGAUGUUUUUGUUAAAAUAAUAUGCAAUUAGUACCAAUAACCAACAAACAAUAACAUGAAAGCAUAUACAUCUUUCUUUAUCAUUAAGAAGAAAAUUAAACAUAUUUUGGUGCAAAGCCACAGUAUUCAACGAACUUUACUGAUCAUGGGGAAGUUUAUGCACAUAUUACCAGGAUAAGCAAAUUAUAAAAAAUAUUAAAUUUUGGAAAAGAAUAAUCAUCUUUUGUUUCUUUUCAAAAAAGAAGUUGACUAAAUAUCAGAAUUGCAUUACCUCCUCUUCAACAAAACCAUUGCGAGUGCCGUGUCCAAGCUUCUCAUCCACCGGACCUGCCAUGGAGGACUGCGAAACAAUGGACUUUCCAGGCACUUCUUCAUAGUUCACUAACUCUUCGGCCUCAAGAUGAUUCACCUUUUCUGAUCUAUCUUUUACAGAGCUGCCAUUACUGAAUUCCCUCCGUUCCGGCCUUGCCUUAUCUUUUGCCGGAUCAGGACCACUCGAUGAGCAUUCUGCCAUGCUCCCACCCUUGAAUGCCAUGGGCAGCGAGUUCCUCGAUGACGGCGGGCGUCGUCUCAAUGUGGGCCGGACGGGCAAUGCUGGUAAGGCGUCCUUUGGCUUCUCAUCCCUCAAUCUGAUCGCAAUCAGCAUCUCCUCCAUCAUGCUACGAGCGCCAGUUGGAGCCGCCAACAAGGUAGAAGACAUGAUGAUGAUGAUGAUGAUGCGGAAAUGCAAACCUUAAGUGGAAAGACGAAACAAAACCCUAACUUUCACAACCAAAGCACCAUUUCCUUCAAAUCGAACUCCAAAAACUCUCACGCAGACCGAUGAAACACAACCGGCGGCUUUUAACGAGACGUGGAGGCCUCCUACCAACUCGAUUCCUCAACCCAAACCAAUCAAACGGGAAGAGAAUCUCUCAACCAAGCACCAUGAACCGAAUCCCCUAUCUCUACCUCCAUAAAUGCUCCCAAAUAGGAAAAUUUAGUGCGUUACCACACAUAAAAUCCAGCAAACUGACAUCAAAUUGCAGCUUUUCGUUACUUUACCAAAUUACAAGCGAAAAAAACCAGGAAAUAGUCGAAAAAUAGGCUUUUUGACUCUCGACCAGCGUCCUUUCACGAAAAGAGACAAAAGCGAUAAGAAAAGAGAGAUCUAAAUCCGGAAGGGAAGCGCUACCAAUCCCCAAACCAACGCCUUUCAGAGAGAUACCGAAGCGAGCUCGUUAUCCCAUUCCCCGCUAAGGGCGCAUCCUCGAGAGAAACGGACAGUUAAUAUCUUAUGUUUUGCAAAUAACCCCUCAACUGACACGUAUUUUUAUGUUGCUCUUUAUUUGAGUUGACUUCAAUCUUUUUGUGCUUUAUGUGUAAAAGAACAAUUUGUAAGGAUUUAAUUAAUAACUAUAAUAAAUUAUAAAAAUAUUCCACAAAUUUAUAUAUAUAUAUAUAUAUAUAUAUAUAUAUAUAUAUAUAUAUACAUAAUUUUUUAUGCAUGUUGAAUGGCCAAAAGGAUGUAGGAAGCAUUUUUUUUUUCUUACACUUAAUAUAUCAAAAUUGUUUGAGAUAAACCUCAUUAUUUCUCCUAAAAGAAAUUUCUUUUAGAAUUCUAAAACCUAGUUUAAGUAACUUAACAAGACAGUGGGAAAAAAAAAAGGUUAAAAUUGUCCAAAUGCACGAUUAAUUUUGCCAAAAGAGAGAUUAAUUUCAUGAUAUGAUUCAUAUUGACCUUAAUCUAACCAUUAGGCAAAAAUAUUUGGGGGGUGAUUAGAAAAAGAGUUGGGUGCUUAAGCAACCAUCUCACAGAAAACAUAUUAGUAUGUUGCUAAUGCAAUUAUAUCAUCCCUUCCCUGAUCCCAAAGUAUUCUACCUCGACAUUGAGUUGAUAUAUUUAUUAGGCAUAAACAUAUACAUCGGUCCACAUUCUUAACAUUCAUAAUUGCACUCAUUUACAUCUAAUUUGCAGUAAAAGCACAUAUCAAUAUGCUUGUUUCUCGGGCUUGUCAGUCCUUGUCAUUUUAAUUGCAAUCCUUGUUAGUUCCAUCCAUACUUAUUAUUAUCGAUAGAAUUAAAAUAUAUAAUAAAUAAUUUUAAAAUUAAAAUAUAUAUAAAUUUACUAAAUAAAAUGAUAUAUAUAUAUAUAUAUAUUAUUUUUAACAUUUGUAUAUAAUUAUAAAAUCUAAUCAAAGAAAAAUGACAUGUUUAAAAUUUAUACACAUAAAAUGUUUACGAGUUAUCGUUCACAUAUGCACUAAUAUAAGCUUGCACGUACUCAUUUCUCUAUCCAAUCACCCGAGUGAGGUAUUAGUAUCUUUACCUAUAAAAUAAGGUCUAUAGUAAAUAAUGACUCAGUAAGUAUAAGCUUUUAUAUUUUUAUCUAGGUGAGCAUGUAUCAUGUCAUAUAUACCAUAAUUUAAAAUUAUCAGCAUAAGAUAAAUAAUGGUAGACAUCUCGAUUUUUUUAGCAAACAUGACCCUACAACAUAUCAUAUGAAUAAUAAGAAAGUAAAAAUUUACAUCAUAACAAAUACAUGCAUAGUACGUCGUAAUAUAAUCAUGCACUCUCAUAUCAUAUGUCAUGGAAAACAUAUUAAUUCUCAUAUCUUAUAUCUUCAUAUAUGUGUACAUAUAAGAUUUUUUUAUCAUAAUUUAUAUAUUUUUAUACUUACAAAAUAUAUACAUUCACAUUUAGCUCAUGCUUACCUCAAGACAAUCAUAUCAUUUGAAAUAUACUUUUUAAAAUAUAUUAUAAAUAUGAUAAUUUAUAUGAUGAAACAAACUUAUACUUACUUGAUUUAACUCAAAAUAUAGAUGUCAAUGAAAUGUAGCAUUUCUUAAUGAUCAAGUGUAUUGGGAAUUGAUAUACUUAUCAAAUUGGGAGAGAUGUCUUAAUCAAAAACUUUAUCUCUUGAAUUAUUAAUUUAUAAUAAUUCAUUGUAAUAAUUCAUAGAAAAAAUUCUGAUAAAAUUUCUCAUAAAAUAAACUAUACUUAACUUAAAAAUUCAUAUAGAUUCUACUAUCAAUUCACAUUAUAAUCAAAUUAACUAGUUAAUAUCAAUCAAACCAACACACAAUUAUACGAAGAAAUUUUAUUUUACUAUUCUAGUUGACCAACGAUGUUGAAUUAUCAUAAUUUUUUAUAAAAAAACUAAGAAAUAUAUAAACUAAAGACAUAACAAAUUUUAGCUUAAAAUAAAAUCAGGUUAAACUAUUCUCUUAAUACAAUUAUCAACACCUAUUAUCUUAUGUUGAAAUUAGGUUAAGAUUGUUUGAACUUAUAAACCUUAUAUUUUGGUACAAGUGUUAUUCACUUAAUAACAAAUCUCAUAGAACCUUAAAAUAAUCUUUUAAAAUAUACGCAAAGGAUAGAGCUUAAUCAUAUAUCUAAUGAGUCAAUUUAGCUUAAAGAGAACUUCUUAGAAAAUAAGAAAUUCUGAGUACAUCAUAUUGUGACACUCUUAGAUUAAGAUCAUACUAGAGACUUUAAAACCAUAAAAGAAUCAUACAAAAUAUAUCCAAAAAUUAAAUAUUAAUUAAAAUUCUAUGUUAUAAAAAAAUUGAUAAUAUCAAUAUAUAAUCUAUAAAAUUGAAACCUUAGGUAUAAUAAAGGAAGAAAUAAGUUUUUUUUUACCUCAAUUUUCAUUAGAGUUAGGGUUUCUAGCUUGCAUAAGAAAAGCUAAGAGAAUGGUUGAAGAAAGAGAAAAAAGGUAUUGUGUCCUUAGGUUGGUAAAGAUGAUGAACAAAAAAAAAAAAAGAACAAGUGGUUAGGAGGUUGCCUUGAUGUUUAGGGUUCAAUUCUAUUAGGCAUCAUUUCAAUUUUUUUUUUACUAAUAUACUUAUAAUAACUUUAAUUUAGUUUAAUUUAGUUUAACAAAGAUAAUAUUUUUGGUAUAUACUCAUCAUUCAAUUUAACUUAUGUAUCUCAACAUUUAGUAUAAUAUUUCUUUUCUAUUUCUAUCUUCAUUUAAAUUUUUAUUACUCUAUCUAUACCUUAGUAACUUAUGAUCCUCCACAUAAAUAAUAUUUAAAACUUAAACUUUAAUCAUGAUCAAACUCAUUUAAAACUUGAGAUUCAUUUAAGACCGAUUAAAAUUCAAUCAUCACUUUUAGUCAUAAUAUAUAUUUUUAUUAUCAUAACUUAAUCUUAUAUUCAACUCCGCUAAUAUACUUUAACUUAUUACGUUAUGCUUAACGUAAGCAUUAAUGUUUAUCCAUGCUUAUAAUCAGUAUUUUAUAGAAUAUUGUGAAUAAUAUUUUUUAAAAACAUAUGCCUCAAUCUUAAAAACUAAAAACAUGAUAAUGUCAUUUAUUAUAUUUAUGAAAUAUAGAUAUCAUAAAUUAUAUCAAAUAUAUAUAUACAUAUUAUUUAUACUUCCAUUAACAUGCUAGUUGUAGUUUAAUAUGUGGAGGCUUGGACAGUUUAAUAUUUUCCAUGAAUAUACUAAUCUAUUAAUAACAUAUUAUUUUAAGAAUAUUUCUUAUUCCCAUAACCCAUUUAGCUUUUUCAAAUCCAUAUAUAUAUAUAUAUAUAUAUAUAUAUAUAUAUAUAUAUAUAUAUAUAUAUAUAUAUAUAUAUAUAUAUAUAUAUAUAUAUAUAUAUAUAUAUAACAUAUGUAUAUUAGGGUUGUUAACAGCAACACUAGACAAUUCAAUUAACAUUAUUAUAUUUGAGUUAAAGAAGCAUAUGAUGAUAUAAAAUAUCUAAAAUACUCUCGACACUUUUAGCAUCAUAAUAAACUCCCAGAGGUCAAUAACAUCUCAAUUAAUAACUAAUUUAUAGUAGCCAAUGAAGAUUAACUAUAAAAAAUGCUCAAAUAUAUAGAGGGAUUAACAUAAGGUCACUGAGUUGGGAGGUGUAUAUGUUGACAUAUAUUCAUGUAAUGUUUCAUUAUUAUGAAUAUUAUCAAAAAGCUCUUCUUAUGUUUAUUUAUUGAAAAUAAUAAUAGAUGAAAAAUGAAAUAAUAAUUGGGUUACCUAAAGAGCCCUCUCAAUGUUCAGCUUAAUAUGGGCUCGCUUGAAGCCCAUUAUGGUAACAUUUGGGCCUACAUAAGCAUUUAUGUACUGUUUUGGAAGGUCGGGCUUCGAGCCCAUCAUUCCCGAGGAAGCGACGUGCGCUCUUCCCAUCGCCCCUCUCCCUCUCCCUCUCCCUCUUGCAGCGAAGCAUGGCGGCUCGGGUGGCGCUGGCGGUUGCUUCCUCCUUCUCCCGCCCCUCCACCGCUGCGGCGAAGCUCGUGCCUCGGCGGGGACUCGCCGGUGGCGGAGGUCCGUCUCUCAUCCCAUCUUUUGACCCGUCGGACUCUCAUCGGCCUUCCCUUCUUGAUUGUUCUCAUUCACUGUUUUGAUCGCGCUUCUUCAGCUUCCGAUCGUUAGGAUGUGCGGUGACAGCGUAUUAGAUCUGAUUAAUACAUUGGGUUUCUGCGAUUUGUGCUACGGGCGUCUUCCAUUUCAUUUUCUUGUGCACCCUAGUUUUUCUUGUUCUGGAGAAAAUAUGGUGUAUUUGAAUUUUGAACUAUUUUAUUGGUCUAAUUCAAAUGGUCGACGAACAAUUUCCUUAGAAAAUUUGGGGAUCAAAGUUAUAUCCAAUACGUUUUUCAGAGGACAUAAACGGAACAACGAUUUAAUUGGUAGGAUUAUGGAUUAGAUUCUGUGCAGAAGAGUAUAUAAUGGAUGAUGGAGCUGGGAUGACUUGAAAGACAAAUUAGUUCCUAAUUCCAGUAGCGAUUUUGAAAGUUGAGUCCCAGUGCAUAUGGGCAAUGCAACAUAGUUUAGUCUGAGCUCUCAACAGUUUCCAGUGAAAUCUGACAAAUAUGAUUUCUUUUCUGGUGAAAAACAGUGUAAUUUAUAACCAACUGGUAGCCAAGUUCUCGAUAAAAAAAUAUUGUAAAGCAGUACCCCCCUAUAAAUUACUAUUGCUAAACAUCUCAAUGCUAAUUAUUAGUAAAAUGAUAUGGAUUUAGGGCAUACAGCUUGUUGAUGUUGUACUAUAUUUGCACCCAAAGAUUUAAGCUUCUCUGAUCUUAUUUGUUUAUGCAUUCUAUGGGUCUCAACUCCAUGCUGUGGUUGGACGAGAGGUAGAGGAAAGCCUAGGAAGUAGCUUGUAGCAAAGUUCUUGAUGAAAAGAUUGUUAAGCAACACCUCUGGGACUUAUUAUUGCUAGAGUAUUAGAAUUUUCAUCUUAUGUAUUCAUGGGAUCCCAACUCCCUAUUGUGGUGUGAGAGGAGGUAGGAAAACCUAAUAAGAGAUGUUACAAUUAUGUAGCUAACCCUGAAUACUUGGGACUUUAUUACUUCUUGUUAUUCCAUGGUGGGGAGAGGAAAAGAAAGGGGAGGGAAUGGUGCGCUUAUCAUGAUGGAUACGUCAAGCUGGUUCAUGUGCUGCUUAAUGUUAAUGAGUCAUGAUAUAGCAUAAGAAGAUAGUGCAAAUAAUCGGUUUUGUAUUGACAAGUGGUAAUAUAUCUGGAUAUUGCAAUUAUGCAACUUUAAUAGUUCAUAUGAAAUAUAUCUGACUCUGACACUAGUCUAACUUGUAAGAUAAUAUUCUGAAUACAUCCCCUUUACUUCUUGUUCUUGUUGUUCCUCACCAUUUUUUGCAGAUCAUCAUGGCCCACCAAAGAUUAAUAUGUGGGAAGACCUGCUUAGUCCAUCUAAAUGGAAGGAAGAACAUGUGAGUUCUAUUUGCAUGGUUUAUAUAUUUUCUAAUGUUCGAGUGUUCUGGUUAUAGGAAGAGCUAUAUAUUUUUGUGCAACUUCCUUUAGAAGAUCUUCUUUUGUUUUUGGUUCAACAUUUAGACAUAUCAAUAGUGAUUUUUUUUUUUAAAUAGUGAUUGAAAUUUGUCUCCUGGGUCUAGACCAAGGUGAAUCACGAACCCUUGGUUCAACAUUUAGUUUAUUGUAGUUUUCUGUUGAAGGUUUCUGCAAGAUGUUGUGAAAUGAAGCUAACAAGAGCUUUGUCUUCUACAGUUUGUACUUACUAGUUUGACUGGCUGGGCCCUUCUAUUUUAUGGUGGAUACAAGCUGUUUGGUGGAAAGAAGGACACAAAGGAAGUGGUAUUGAUAGUAGUUGAAACUCAAAAUUAUUAGCUGCAACUUUAUUUAAACAUUUUUGAACGAGCUUGCUUUUAUGGAAAAUGUUGUGCUUUUUUAAGAUUGUUAUUAUUCUAGUUGGACAGGGUUUCUUCACCAAUAGGUUAAAUAGCAUCUUGAGAAAUUGGAUGAACUGAUGCCUAGAAAGGAGCAUGGCCAUUUUAAUGUGAUAUGGAUUUCGUACUCUAUUGUGUAUGAACUAAGCCUAUAUUUUUAUUUAGGGUGCGGAUGCUGUAGCAUGCUGUAUGAGGAUAAUUACAGCUUCCAAAGUUUCUGAUAAUAGCAAAUAACUAGCCAGGACCAUGUAGUUGGGUAAAGGAGAUGAUGGAAUGAUCAGUGAAUCCCUAAUGAAUCCAAACUGCAGAUCAAUUUUUGAUGUUUAAUGUUUAUGGGUAAAUAAUUUGUUGAUUGAUUCUAGUUUGGGUUGGAGCCAAAUCCAUAAUGUGUUUGUAUUUGCCAUGGGUCAAACCAGUUGGGACAGCACAUUUCUAUUUCUUCUUUUUUUGUGGAUAUUUUUUCUAGAUUUGAUUUUUUAUGUUAGAGACAGUACUUUGAUGUGUUUUAAUUAGGAAAAAGUUGCCAACUUAACAAGUCUUUGGGAUAUUAUUGCUAGAGAUUUGGAGUCUUGAAAUGUGACUUAUUUAAUGAAUCCAAUAACUUCAGGGUGAAGGAAAGAAACUUUAGAAAAAGAAACUAGAUGUUUGUGUGAACGCUCUUGCCUCGAGUGAGAUAAUAGGCAGAUUUAUAAUGAAUGAAAACAAUAUUGAUUUUUGAUGGAUGGUCUUCUGAUCUCUGUUUUUUCUUUUUAUUGAAAUUUUCUUCUAGUUUCCACUCUGCUUCUCCCAUUCUACAGCUUCCACCAAAAUGUCAUUUCGUUUAAUCUUGUAAUUGUAGUUAUCUUCUAUUAUUUUUAGUUACAAUGUUGCAUCAAAUUGCUGUCCUAAAUGCUAUAAAUCAGGUAGAGCAUAGAUCUGGACUACCGUGACAAUUGAUAGUUUGUCUACCAAAUUUCUGUAACAGUGUGUUUAAUGUUGUAUUCUUAAGAAGCUGUGGUAUAUAAUUACAGGGUCUGCCGUACCGAGCCGUACCGCCCAUACCGGGCGGUAUGUAGCACUGUAACAGUACACUGUGGUACUGUAGUAGUGCUACAGUACUCGGUACACCCAGGUGUACCGCUCGGUAUACCGUACCGGUACCGAGCCCAGGUCGAAAUACCGGUAUGGUACGGUAUUACGAACCUUGAUAUAAUACGUACCAAAUCAAAAUGGCAUGAUUAACGGUAGCUGGCAUAUGAAAUCUUUGUUUAUAACAAGGAUAUUAUACAUGAAACGUUUGGCUUCUUGUGACUGAUCAUAUUUAUGUGGCAGGUGGGAGAAAAGUUGGUGCACUAGAUUUGCUGGGAUAACCUACCUUCUCAUUCCUGAUUGCAUGGCAAUAAAGCAUUCGAGUAACAUUGCCUUCUUUAGAGAGGUCCUCUCUUUGUUAUGCUCUUCAAAGUUUUCAUAGCAUGAUAGACUAUGUACUGUGGGUUUUUGUCUUGUAAUCUUGCACAACACAUUCUAUAUUUCUCCAAUAAAACACAAUAUGAUGAGACAACAACUCCUUGGUAUUGUGAUAUUAUUUUCUCAUGGCAAGUCAAUGCUGGCUCACUAUGAUUGCCAGUCAAACUGUUCUUUCUUUAUAGCUGAUGUUUUCUACUUGACUCGAAACUAAGGGGCCUUUGUCUGAGUCAAAAUACAAUGCCUAUGUGCUCAACCCUUUUGUCUCUAAUAAUUUUCAGCUAAUAUGAUUGUAUCAAACAGGUGAUUUCUGCUGAGAGUCCCCAUUCUACUUUGUGACUGUGACAUCUCCUUUGUUUACAUGCAACUCACUGAUGUUAUUGAUGAAUGGUUUGAUCAGCUUCUCACACUAAAUUACAAGUUACCUUCAUCUAUUUGUAGAAGCUAGAAUUGCCAUUCCUGAGGAUCCUCAUUCCAACUUCUACCUUCAUCAGCUCACUUCUUCAGGUAAUUCAAUGCAUGACAUAAAAUAGAUAGGUUUAUAAUGUUAGCUUGAGUUCAAUAGUUGGCAUGUUCUUAACUUACAUAUUAUCAAAACCCUCAUUUGAUUGUCCUUGUUUUUAUUUUUUUUUUCUCUAGAACUUAUUGGCUCUCUCUCUCUCUCUCUCUCUCUCACACACACACACACACAAAGUAGAAAUUUAAAUCAUUAGGGAAGAAUUUCCCUUCUUUUUUUUUCUUAGGGUUAGGGAAGAAUUCACUUCAUGCAAAGUUGAAAUAAAAUCUGCUUUAGAAAGAUUUGUUAUGAUCUGCUUUGCAUGUGUCGAAGAAUGGUUAGCUGGUCAAUAGUCUUGGCAUCAUCUGCAUGGGGAAUCAUUAUCCCCAUUCCUUGUGUCGAUACAUCGAAAUCAACCUUUUUUAUGAGCCAUACUUCUUUUCUUAUUUCCGACAGGAAAUCAUGUUAAGGAAUAUAAGUGAUAAGUGACAGUAGGAGAGGCUGCCACCAUCCACUAACAAGAUGCCUUAAGGAGAAAGAAUACAAGAAAGAGACAAGCGAGAGAAUACAAGAUGCGAUCCAUGUGCCAUGUGAUGGGAGUGCAAACGAGUGCCAAUCUAAAGCAAAUUAGGCAGCGGCCUCCUCUAUGCGUAUAUUGCCACUCCACUGCAAGCUGUAGCUCGGUACCAGAGAGAGAGAGAGAGAGAGAGAGAGAGAGAGAGAGAGAGAGGAGGAGGAGGAGGACAGUAGUAGCUUGAUCCCAGUCCGAGAAGAGAGAGGAGAAACACGAGGGGAGGAAAGGGAAGAAGACGAAGAAUGAAAGGAAGAAGGCUAAGUGGAGGGAGGAUAUACAGCAGCUGCCGUCGCCUGAUCCCCAAGCGUGGGCGGAUCAAGGCCUCAAUCGCCGCUGCCUUUGCCCACGCUUUCGCCGCCUUGGUCUCCCUCGUCGUCCGUCGUCUUUAGAUGGCUGACUCAGAGAUGAUAGAUAGAUAGAUAGAUAGAUAGAUAGAUACUCAAGCCUCUUUAUCUCUGUUUGAUAUGAUGUUCACAGUAGUCAAAAUCUAGGUUAGUUUGUUGCAGUUUAUGAACAUAGUGAAAUGGAAGUUCUGCAUAUAUAUGUACAUGAUUUUAACAUCCACUAUUCACUCCGAAACAAUUUCAUUUCAUCCCAAUCUCAAGUUGUUAUUAGUCACCAUAUCUUACAAUCAUAAUGGAUCCAAAUCGAAAUUAAAA